AUGAACGCUGGCGGCGUGCUUAACACAUGCAAGUCGAACGAGCCUUCGGGCUAGUGGCGGACGGGUGAGUAACGCGUGGGAAUCUGCCCUCAGGAGGGGGAUAACGGCCGGAAACGGCCGCUAAUACCCCAUAUGCCGAGAGGUGAAACGAAUUUCGCCUGGGGAUGAGCCCGCGUCUGAUUAGCUAGUUGGUGAGGUAAUGGCUCACCAAGGCUUCGAUCAGUAGCUGGUCUGAGAGGAUGAUCAGCCACACUGGGACUGAGACACGGCCCAGACUCCUACGGGAGGCAGCAGUGGGGAAUUUUCCGCAAUGGGCGCAAGCCUGACGGAGCAACGCCGCGUGAGGGACGAAGGCCUCUGGGCUGUAAACCUCUUUUCUCAAGGAAGAAGACAUGACGGUACUUGAGGAAUAAGCCACGGCUAAUUCCGUGCCAGCAGCCGCGGUAAUACGGGAGUGGCAAGCGUUAUCCGGAAUUAUUGGGCGUAAAGCGUCCGCAGGCGGCCUUGUAAGUCUGUUGUUAAAGCGUGGAGCUCAACUCCAUUUAAGCAAUGGAAACUACAAGGCUAGAGUGUGGUAGGGGCAGAGGGAAUUCCCGGUGUAGCGGUGAAAUGCGUAGAUAUCGGGAAGAACACCAGUGGCGAAGGCGCUCUGCUGGGCCAUAACUGACGCUCAUGGACGAAAGCCAGGGGAGCGAAAGGGAUUAGAUACCCCUGUAGUCCUGGCCGUAAACGAUGAACACUAGGUGUCGGGAGAAUUAACCCUUCCGGUGUCGUAGCCAACGCGUUAAGUGUUCCGCCUGGGGAGUACGCACGCAAGUGUGAAACUCAAAGGAAUUGACGGGGGCCCGCACAAGCGGUGGAGUAUGUGGUUUAAUUCGAUGCAACGCGAAGAACCUUACCAGGGUUUGACAUCCUGCGAAUCCCUUGGAAACGAGGGAGUGCCUUCGGGAACGCAGUGACAGGUGGUGCAUGGCUGUCGUCAGCUCGUGUCGUGAGAUGUUGGGUUAAGUCCCGCAACGAGCGCAACCCACGUCUUUAGUUGCCAGCAUUCAGUUGGGCACUCUAGAGAGACCGCCGGUGAUAAACCGGAGGAAGGUGUGGAUGACGUCAAGUCAUCAUGCCCCUUACAUCCUGGGCUACACACGUACUACAAUGCUACGGACAAAGGGCAGCAAACUCGCGAGAGCUAGCAAAUCCCAUAAACCGUGGCUCAGUUCAGAUCGUAGGCUGCAACUCGCCUACGUGAAGGAGGAAUCGCUAGUAAUCGCAGGUCAGCAUACUGCGGUGAAUACGUUCCCGGGCCUUGUACACACCGCCCGUCACACCAUGGAAGUUGGCCAUGCCCGAAGUCGUUACUCCAACCCGCAAGGGAGGAGGACGCCGAAGGUGGGGCUGAUGACUGGGGUGAAGUCGUAACAAGGUAGCCGUACCGGAAGGUGCGGCUGGAUCACCUCCUA
rnacentral:rRNA from 1 species